rnacentral:misc_RNA from 1 species
AUGAAAUCUUGCUUCUGUGUCGAUCAUAUGCCCUUGAAAUAGUUUUCACAGAUGGAGAAACAAGCUUGGAAUGACAGACAGCGCAUUCUGCCAUACCGUUCUUCAUGAGUCAACUGCUUAGUAUUUCAGCUCACCUGUGAGAGAAUUGGCGGGAAGACAAAUAUUCCGGCCAGAUCCAGAUAAGUCCGGCUCACCGACCGACGGAUGGAGUUGAGCUGAGACGAGUGGAGUGAAAGUUGAAAUUUGGAGAUUUAGGAAGGGAAUUGUGAAAG